rnacentral:rRNA from 1 species
CGAGCGAACAGAUAAGGAGCUUGCUCCUUUGACGUUAGCGGCGGACGGGUGAGUAACACGUGGGUAACCUACCUAUAAGACUGGGAUAACUUCGGGAAACCGGAGCUAAUACCGGAUAACAUUUGGAACCGCAUGGUUCUAAAGUGAAAGAUGGUUUUGCUAUCACUUAUAGAUGGACCCGCGCCGUAUUAGCUAGUUGGUAAGGUAACGGCUUACCAAGGCGACGAUACGUAGCCGACCUGAGAGGGUGAUCGGCCACACUGGAACUGAGACACGGUCCAGACUCCUACGGGAGGCAGCAGUAGGGAAUCUUCCGCAAUGGGCGAAAGCCUGACGGAGCAACGCCGCGUGAGUGAUGAAGGGUUUCGGCUCGUAAAACUCUGUUAUUAGGGAAGAACAAACGUGUAAGUAACUGUGCACGUCUUGACGGUACCUAAUCAGAAAGCCACGGCUAACUACGUGCCAGCAGCCGCGGUAAUACGUAGGUGGCAAGCGUUAUCCGGAAUUAUUGGGCGUAAAGCGCGCGUAGGCGGUUUCUUAAGUCUGAUGUGAAAGCCCACGGCUCACCCGUGGAGGGUCAUUGGAAACUGCCAAACUUGAGUGCAGAAGAGGAAAGUGGAAUUCCAUGUGUAGCGGUGAAAUGCGCAGAGAUAUGGAGGAACACCAGUGGCGAAGGCGACUUUCUGGUCUGUAACUGACGCUGAUGUGCGAAAGC